rnacentral:rRNA from 1 species
GGUGACCCAAACCCUCACCAGAGUAGCAAUUGGAGGGCAAGUCUGGUGCCAGCAGCCGCGGUAAUUCCAGCUCCAAUAGCGUAUAUUAAACUUGUUGCAGUUAAAAAGCUCGUAGUUGUAUUUUUGCGUUGACGGUUUGACCAUUUGGUUGGUUAUUUCGUUUUCGCUUUUGGGAAUUUCCCYUUUUACUUUGAGAAAAUUAGAGUGUUUCAAGCAGACUUUUGUCUUGAAUACUUCAGCAUGGAAUAAUWGAGUAGGACUUUGGUUCUAUUUUGUUGGUUAUUGAACCUUAGUAAUGGUUAAUAGGAACGGUUGGGGGCAUUC